rnacentral:rRNA from 1 species
UACGUAGGGUGCGAGCGUUGUCCGGAAUUAUUGGGCGUAAAGAGCUUGUAGGCGGUCUGUCGCGUCUGCUGUGAAAAUCCGGGGCUCAACCCCGGACUUGCAGUGGGUACGGGCAGACUAGAGUGUGGUAGGGGAGACUGGAAUUCCUGGUGUAGCGGUGAAAUGCGCAGAUAUCAUGAGGAAGACCAGUGGCGAAGGCGGGUCUCUGGACAGUUCCUGACACUGAGACACGAAGGCCAGGGGAGCAAACGGG